rnacentral:rRNA from 1 species
AUACGGAAGGUCCGGGCGUUAUCCGGAUUUAUUGGGUUUAAAGGGAGCGUAGGCGGGGCGUUAAGCGUGCUGUGAAAAGCCGCGGCUCAACCGUGGUCGUGCAGCGCGAACUGUCGCCCUUGAGUGCGCGGGAGGCACGCGGAAUUCGUGGUGUAGCGGUGAAAUGCUUGGAUAUCACGAGGAACGCCGAUUGCGAAGGCAGCGUGCCGUAGCGUUACUGACGCUGAAGCUCGAAGGUGCGGGUAUCGAACAGGAUUAGAUACCCUGGUAGUCCGCACGGUAAACGAUGGAUGCCCGCUGUCCGCCCCUUGCGGCGGGUGGCCAAGCGAAAGCGUUAAGCAUCCCACCUGGGGAGUACGCCGGCAACGGUGAAACUCAAAUGAAUUGGCGGGG